UACGAAGGGGACUAGCGUUGUUCGGAAUUACUGGGCGUAAAGCGCACGUAGGCGGUCGUGCAAGUCGCGUGUGAAAGCCCCCGGCUCAACUGGGGAGGGUCACGCGAUACUGCUCGACUUGAAGGCAGGAGAGGGAAGUGGAAUUCCCGGUGUAGUGGUGAAAUGCGUAGAUAUCGGGAGGAACACCAGUGGCGAAGGCGACUUCCUGGCCUGUUCUUGACGCUGAGGCGCGAAAGCUAGGGUAGCAAACGGG
rnacentral:rRNA from 1 species